AGCGAACGCUGGCGGCAGGCCUAAAACAUGCAAGUCGAACGCCGUAGCAAUACGGAGUGGCAGACGGGUGAGUAACGCGUGGGAACGUACCCUCUGGUUCGGAACAACACAGGGAAACUUGUGCUAAUACCGGAUAAGCCCUUACGGGGAAAGAUUUAUCGCCAAAGGAUCGGCCCGCGUCUGAUUAGCUUGUUGGUGAGGUAACGGCUCACCAAGGCUACGAUCAGUAGCUGGUCUGAGAGGAUGAUCAGCCACACUGGGACUGAGACACGGCCCAGACUCCUACGGGAGGCAGCAGUUAGGAAUCUUGGACAAUGGGCGCAAGCCUGAUCCAGCCAUGCCGCGUGAGUGAUGAAGGCCUUAGGGUUGUAAAGCUCUUUCAGCGGGGAAGAUAAUGACGGUACCCGCAGAAGAAGCCCC
rnacentral:rRNA from 1 species